AGAGUUUGAUCCUGGCUCAGAUUGAACGCUGGCGGCAUGCCUUACACAUGCAAGUCGAACGGCAGCAUGAUCUAGCUUGCUAGAUUGAUGGCGAGUGGCGAACGGGUGAGUAAUACAUCGGAACGUGCCCUGUAGUGGGGGAUAACUAGUCGAAAGAUUAGCUAAUACCGCAUACGACCUGAGGGUGAAAGUGGGGGACCGCAAGGCCUCAUGCUAUAGGAGCGGCCGAUGUCUGAUUAGCUAGUUGGUGGGGUAAAGGCCCACCAAGGCGACGAUCAGUAGCUGGUCUGAGAGGACGAUCAGCCACACUGGGACUGAGACACGGCCCAGACUCCUACGGGAGGCAGCAGUGGGGAAUUUUGGACAAUGGGGGCAACCCUGAUCCAGCAAUGCCGCGUGUGUGAAGAAGGCCUUCGGGUUGUAAAGCACUUUUGUCCGGAAAGAAAUCGCACUUACUAAUAUUAGGUGUGGAUGACGGUACCGGAAGAAUAAGGACCGGCUAACUACGUGCCAGCAGCCGCGGUAAUACGUAGGGUCCAAGCGUUAAUCGGAAUUACUGGGCGUAAAGCGUGCGCAGGCGGUUGUGCAAGACCGGUGUGAAAUCCCCGGGCUUAACCUGGGAAUUGCAUUGGUGACUGCACGGCUAGAGUGUGUCAGAGGGGGGUAGAAUUCCACGUGUAGCAGUGAAAUGCGUAGAGAUGUGGAGGAAUACCGAUGGCGAAGGCAGCCCCCUGGGAUAACACUGACGCUCAUGCACGAAAGCGUGGGGAGCAAACAGGAUUAGAUACCCUGGUAGUCCACGCCCCUAAACGAUGUCAACUAGUUGUUGGGGAUUCAUUUCCUUAGUAACGUAGCUAACGCGUGAAGUUGACCCGCCUGGGGAGUACGGUCGCAAGAUUAAAACUCAAAGGAAUUGACGGGGACCCCGCACAAGCGGUG
rnacentral:rRNA from 1 species